rnacentral:piRNA from 1 species
UACAGACAGAUGUGUGUAGGAACUGUGAA